GUACUCACUAUGGCAGCACACAUUCUAAAAUUGGAAUGAUACAGAGAAGAUUAGCAUGGACCCUGCACAAGGUUGACAUCCAAAUUCGUGAGUGUUCCACAUUUUUU
ensembl:snRNA U6 U6 spliceosomal RNA